CACAGCAGGAUGCCGGCACUGCCCUGAAGAGAGAGGAAUAUUCUCCAGAGACCUAGAGCUCGUACCGUUCCAGUGGCUCCCCCGUCUCUCUCUCAGUUCCGGUCGCCCUAACCUACUCCUUUUAGUUUCUCCUUGGGGUUCUCAGUCUGCAGUCCUUUCCCAGCAGUGUCACCUCACAGACGCGUGUUCCCCGCUGAGCAGAAGGGCUGUACUCGGUGCUGUCGCCUGUGUCUCCUGCGGAGCAUGCCUACUGCAUCUGAUAGUGUCAAAUCCCGGAUUUCUCGCCUCUUUCCACAGCGGAGAGGUCGUUUGGGGCCACACCAUUCAUCAGCAGGGCAGUGCCCCCCAGGAGCAGCACUCCUGCCCUCCCAGUAAUCUUGAGGGGGCAGAUGUGGGCUCCGUUUCCCCUGCAGGCACCAGCUCGCUGCCGAGCCCUCCCUCCCCCUCCCUUCUCUCCACCCCAUCCUGCCCUUCACGCGUUUGAAAGCCCUGCGUGGAAGCUGGACGCCGUUCCCUUGUUUGGCCGUGCUCGCGCGCUCCGCCGGGCCCCGUGGCGGCUGGCGUUUGUGGGGGCACCUCGGGGCCCUGCCCUGUGCGGUGGCCUCCGGGUCGGAGAGAAUAAGCAGCCCCAGGGAGCCUUGCCAAACUCAGCAGACGUUUUUGAUUGAAUUUAAUUAAAGGGUGUGUGCUGAAGAGAAAAAGAUUCUGAGUAUCUUAUUUGAGAAGAAAAAUAUCAAUACUGAAAGGGAGGAAAGAAAGACCCCAGCGCCAGGGCGCGUUACUGUCUCCUAGAGUUAGGGGAUGUCUCUAAACUUGGUCUGUCAUGGUGGUCGGGGGAGAACGAAUUCUGGGAACAUCUGAGGCUGCUUUUUACCAAGCAAAUGUAUCAGGAGCCCCGGAAAGAGGCUUAAGAACGUUGCCACCAGUCUCCCUGUAUCCAUUACUGGCCCCACAUCCUGGGAAAUGUGUCUACCAGCUGUCAUUCCUCCAGGCUUACAGAAGGUCUUCAAUAAAGGGUUUAUUGCACCAA